GAGAUAUUAGUAAAAACAAUUACAUAACUUUGUCAAAGUUAAGUUAUAGAUUACUCCUAUAUAUCUUA
rnacentral:tRNA from 1 species